rnacentral:rRNA from 1 species
UGACGAGUUUGAUCCUGGCUCAGGAUGAACGCUAGCGGCGGGCUUAAUACAUGCAAGUCAAGGGGUAGCAAUACACCGGCGUACGGGUGCGUAACGCGUAUGGAACCUGCCCUUAUCUGGGGGAUAACUCGGGGAAACUCGAGCUAAUACCGCAUAAGAUAGUAGAGUGGCAUCACUCAGCUAUUAAAGAUUUAUCGGAUAAGGAUGGCCAUGCGUAAGAUUAGAUAGUUGGCGAGGUAACGGCUCACCAAGUCUACGAUCUUUAGGGGGCUCUGAGAGGAGAAUCCCCCACACUGGCACUGAGAUACGGGGCCCGACUCCUACGGGAGGCAGCAGUAAGGAAUAUUGGUCAAUGGACGCAAGUCUGACCCAGCCAUGCCCGCGUGCAGGAUGAAGGCGUUAUGCGUCGUAAACUGCUUUUAUACAGG